GACUGCUUUAGACCAUCAGGGCUUUAUCAGCCACAACUGAGCCUGCUGGUGAUGGCUCAGGAAGAGUUCACAAACAGCUGGGUGCUUACACACCUGUAAUCCCAGUACUCAGGGAGGCUGAGGCAGGAGAAAUGCAAGUUCGGGUCCAGACUGCUCUUCUUGGGAUGCGUGCCUUUGGAAUCCAAUCACCAGCCUGUGAGGAAGCCAAGCAUCCCAUAAAAAGUUCCAGUGGGGAGGCACUGAGGUCCCCAUACAGGACUCCUGUUGAAAUCCCGCUGACAGCCAGCACCAACUUGCCAACCAUAUAAAUGAGCCAUCUCAAAAGAUCUUCCAGCCUUUGGUCCAACUGCAUCAGGUGACACUGUGUACAGCAGAGAUAAGCCUUUUCCACCAAACCCUGACCAAAUUUCAAAUUCAUGAGAGAAAUAAAUGAUUGUUGUUAUUUAAACCA